ensembl:lncRNA uncharacterized LOC116742590
AGAUUCGGCGGGGCGGGGCGGGGGUGGGGGGCGACCGUGGGUGGAAAUUCUACCUGUGUGAUGCUGAGAAGUACCAUGAAGGAAAACAAAGCAGUGUAAGAAGAUAGAAACCGGGUCAGUAAAGGAGAAGGCUGGGCAGCGAAGAGAGAAAAGAGCCCUGUUUAUGAGAAAGCGCUUUGCCGGGGGAAAGGAGCGACAGGCAAAGGCCUUUCAAGAAGCUCAAAAUGACCGCUGUGUGGACCAGGUGUGCUAGGUGAAGUCUGAGAGGUAGCCAGGGACUGAGGUCCUGUUGAAUUUUAUUCUAAGAAAAAUGGGAAGCAUCAGAGGGAUGUUGGGCUGUGUCUUAAGUUUUCGAAAGAUCCCUCUGGCUGCUCAGUGUGAAUAGACCAGAGGGGAGUCGUGAGGAUAGGGAGGUUGUAAGGGUGGAAGCAAAGAGAUUGUAGAGUAGAAGGUGAUUGCAGGUGAUGAAUUGGAUGCCAGUGUGGCUAAGGCGAAAUGAGCUAGGAGAAGAAUGAUGAGAAGUAGCCAUGGGCCAGACCAGAUAGGGCCUUGUACGUCAUGGAAUUCUUUCCCAGAGAGUUGGGAGGCCUGGGGAAGAAUAAGGUGGUCCCACUUAAGUUUUACAAGGAAUACUCAGGUUGCCGUGUGUGAAUAGACCGGAGAGGGGUGAGAACGGAGGCGGGCAGAGAGUGCAGUCAGGAAGCUGUAACGGGGAUGGAGGCAGACGAUGGGUUAGACUACAGUGGAGGUGGUAGAAGUAGGGUAGGAUUGGGGAUCUAGUUUGUAGAGCCAACGGUUAUCGACGAAAAUUCAAUUAACUAUCAAGUUAAGAAAAAAAAAGGGAUUUUAUUCGAGCCAAACUGAGGAUUAUCACCUGGGAAGCAGAUUAUCAGAAAGUUCUGAGAGCUCUUCCUCCCGUUAGAAGUCGAAGGUAUAGUCUGUACAUUUUUGAGACAACGGAUCGUACAACAAAAUGACGUACUGAUGUUUCACUUAAAGUUCACCAAGGAUACAUAGACCAGCUCCAGAUUUUCUGCUGGACACUGGUAGAGACCAAAUGCCAGACCCCACGUGAGUGUGUGAGCUGAGCUGGGUGUGACGUGCUCCACCGAGCCACAUGCCACACUCCACCAUCGCGGGGAGGUCGAUGUGGACGAUGCUAUCAGCCUUGCGCAGGUCCCUGAAGCACAAGUAAGUCACAUGAACAGGUGGCUGAGACUCCCAGGACACCUGCUCCAUCCCCCCACACCCCACAACAAUGGCCUCAGUGGACUGUGUGGGCAGAAGAGUGAAGAAGGAAGACGCAGACCCAGUUAAUAGGUUGCUUUGUAAAUAUGCUGGCACCACGCAGACGUGGAAUGCCGUGCAAAACAGCUUCCCCCAGUGUGCCCGAAAGGUAGAGGUGAAGGGGUUCCCCCAGAAGGCCACCUGCCUGGGCGGAGAGAAAGCCAGAGGUCCAGGAUCUACAGCAGUGCAGGGGCAGCAGCUAUCAGAUGGUCUGGGAACUUGGAAAGAACAAGAUUGGAGGCUUAAAGACAAAAAGGUCUGGGGAAGGGGUUUGUGGAUGAACUUCUCAGAAUGAGGAGAGAUGUGAGGGGAGGUGUAGCCCGUGUCCAUACUCACCAAAGGGCUCCUACACGGGAGGCCUUUAAUAAACAAGUGGCAGGAUGCCUGUCUUGUAC